CAUUAGAUGGCUGAAAGUAAGCAGCGGAAUUUUAAACCGCUGUAUAAUAGGAUAACGUCUAUUUCUAAUG
rnacentral:tRNA from 1 species